ACGGAAGGCAGCAGUGGGGAAUAUUGGGCAAUGGGCGCAAGCCUGACCCAGCAAUGCCGCGUGAUGGAAGAAGGCUUUCGGGUUGUAAACUUCUUUUAAGUGGGACGAUAAUGACGGUACCACUUGAAUAAGCUCCGGCUAACUACGUGCCAGCAGCCGCGGUAAUACGUAGGGAGCAAGCGUUAUCCGGAGUUACUGGGUGUAAAGGGCGUGUAGGCGGGACUACAAGUCAGAUGUGAAAGCACGGGGCUCAACUCCGUGUCUGCAUUUGAAACUGCAGUUCGUGAGUGCUGGAGAGGCUAACGGAAUUCCUAGUGUAGCGGUGAAAUGCGUAGAUAUUAGGAGGAACACCGGUUGCGAAGGCGGUUAGCUGGACAGUAACUGACGCUGAGACGCGAAAGAGUGGGUAGCAAACAGGAUUAGAUACCCUGGUA
rnacentral:rRNA from 1 species